GGGGUUGUAGCUCAGGGGUACAGUGCUCACCUAGCACGUGCGAGGCCCUGGGUUCAAACCUCAGCACCACA
rnacentral:tRNA from 1 species